AUAGGUAGAAGCUGUAGCUUGGAUUCAGUCCCUUCCCAGGAACUUCCAUAUGCACAGGUGUGGCCAUUAAAAAAAAAAAAAAAAGAAUUCAGUUCUCAAGUUCAGAAUGCUAGCAUCUCCUUCGGACAGCUUAAACCAUUGAAUUUUGUCAUUCGUAUCAAUAUCCCGACAAAUAUGCCUUCUCCAACAGGCCAGCUGACUUCAUCAAGCCAGCAAGGAAGAGAGUCAAUGGAGAGAGAAAGCCUGCCAACAAGAUGGAAUUUACAAUUGAAUGUAACACAAUCAUGUAAGUUUUCUUCAAUCAAGUCUAUUUAAAGAAAAAGAACAGAGGAAAACAACAGCCAAGUUGGAGGGUGGGAAGCGUGUUCCAGCAAAUAGGAACAACACUGAAGAAAGUUCUCCAACAGAUAAUGCUUUAAGAGCCGGACUUGAACAAAUCUUCAACCAGCCAUCUCGGCAACAAAAGACCAGGGUAACCUGGUAAGAGAACUAAGCCUUCCAUAUAAAAACAAAGAUAAAAUAGUUCAGCAGCCAAGAUUCGACAUCUUUAAAAAUGCCUUUUCAAUCUUUUACUUUUGUCUGCUUGGUUGUCUAGCAACCGAGUGCCGAAAAGAAACUCCACCCAAAACAAAGUGAAACAAUGCAGACACUUAGCUUCAUGAGUGUGUGUGCGUGUGCGUGUGUGUGUGUGUGUGUGUGCACGCGCGCAUCUCAAGAUUCUCAGCGUGCAGAGAUAGAAACUCGCUUUCAGACAAUUAAAACAGAAAAAGUCCUUAUUGUAGAUUUGUAGAUGGCAGGAAAGGAAGUUGGGAGUGAGUAAAAAGCAACUUAAAAAUGCGUAAUGUAGGAUGAGGGUAUAGUUUCCACACACCGGGCUAAAGCAAGGUUUACACUCUUAAGUAAUAAAAACAAACCAUUAAGCUCAGCCCAGCACUGUCAGGAAGUAUAAAACAGUUCUUGAAACUUUGCAGUUACUAUACAAAAGCUUUUCAUAAACUCUGCUUCCUGAUCUUCAUUAAACGCUCACAUCCAGUUGCCAUGGGGCAAUUAGCUUGCCUCCUGAAAUCAAUAAAAAAUCAACAAUUUGGAAAUAGUUGUACAGUAAAAUAGUUCAAUAAUUAUUCUCUCAUAGCGUUGUGGCCAAGCAGUUCCAGUGUAAAUGCAGACCAGAUGAGGGAAGCUUUAAGCAAGGACCGGUUUGCAGAGAGAUCUCCUCAUCAGGAAGGCAGUGAGAAUGCCGCCCUGGCACCGCGUUCAAGUCAGUGUCUGGCCCCCGCUCACACACCUCAGAGGGACGUGGAGACCCACAUGAAAUGACAGAUCCAACGGAUGCAAGAUUAGGCACACUACACUCAGCAUGUGGACCCUAGACAAGAACAAAGCAAAAAAUUUUCCCUGGGGUAUAUAUAUGUGUGUGCAUAUAUAUAUAUUUAUAUAUGCAUAUAUAUAUGUACAUAUCUCCAAGAGAAAAAAAGUGUGUAUAUGUAUAUGUGUAUGAUAUAGACAUACUAUAUAUAUGUCUAUAUUAUAUAUGCUUUAAAUAUUAUAUACUUUAAAUAUUACAUAUAUACCAUAUAUAAUAUAGACAUUUGUCUAUACUACACACACAUAAAAUAAUAUAUGUCUAUUUAUAUAUGAGGAAUGUAUUUGAGAUUAGGGAUUCAUUCAUUUCAGCAUUUCUUUGACAAAUAUUCAAAUGAGUUGCUUGUAAGAAACUUCCAAAAUGUUCCCCUAAAAAGUAAAAUGAGGCUACCAAACAGAUGACCUUCCCAGGACAAUUUGCAAAAAAAGAGGUGCCAAGACAAACAUUUCUUUGCUGACCCCUUUUGCAGGGGCAAAGAAAUUCCUUUUGCUUUUUCUAGCCAGAGCCCAUUCACUCUGGCACCGAAUUCCAAGCCAGCUGCAGAAUCACAAACUCCAAUAUCCAUUAAAUCAAACCUCAACCACGAAACUGGGAAGUUUUCUAUCACCCUCUAGGCUCAAUAGCGCUGUACAGUGAACUGUCUCAGCACUUACGAAAAAAUUGAGCAUCUUUUUUAGUAUAAACAAAUGCCUCAAAUGUAUGACAUCUAUUUGCUGCCUUCAAAGGGAAAACUUAACUCAGACGCUUGGCACUAAGAUCACACGGGAUCAACUCCAUGGACUGACUUUUUAAAAGUAUGUUAAGGGCUUGCACCUGCUCCCCCAUCCACAUAGAUGUACUGACACGUAUUUGACUAAACUGACUACAUACAUGCCCAAGCAAGCAAGCGGAGCUGAUUUUACAAGAUAAGCAACCAAGUGUUUUCAUGUCUGAGGGUGGCAAGAACACAAAAUUGCCAGUCAUCUUGUGGGGGAAAAGAAUGCCUUUGAAAAAAUAUGUAGGGCAUCUUUUCAGAUAAAAUGUAGCCAUCCGCAUGCCAUCCCGCCUAUAGGUGUUGUUUUGUUUUGUUUUCCUUUAAGUGCUACUUCUUCGGGGCCUAAACUUGGUCCACCGUUUUCUGCUGGAUUGAGAAGAUAAUUAUUAGAGCCUUGCUACUCAGCCUGUAAGACCUCAGGCCAGUGGUACAUUCAGCCACACCUGGGAGCAGGUUCGAAAUGCAGAAUCUCAGGCCCCACCCCAGACUCACGGAAGCAGAACCUAUAUUAGAGCAUGAUCCCCAGGGUCUGUAUACACAUUAACAUUGCAUUUUCCUGGAGGCAGGACUGGUGCUUUGUACUAAUAUUAAAAUCUGAGAAGUUUUAUUUAGAGCACUGGUUCUGCCCCCGCCCCUCCCCCAAGUUAGAUAGAAGUUCACUUUGAAGUUUGUGGGGCAGAGAGAUGGUCAGAAAACUGUUGCCCUGGAGUAUACCGUAAGGCUGUAAUUUAUGUCAGUGGAGGGCAGGCAAGAGGAAAAGCAAUUUACCUGAGUGAAGCAGACCUGCAUUUAUCCCCAUCUCACCCUACCUGGCCCCUGCGAUUGUCUAUCCAUGUCAUACUUUAUCGAUACUUAAAUUGUUCUCUACUGCAAGGCUCUGUUCUUUUUGCCUUACCACAGAUUAGGGGGCUGUGGUAGCUGACAUUCUGUGAACCAGUAUCUUAACAUUUAAUGUAACUCUAGAGUAGAAAUAGACCACUUAAAAAAAAUCAUUUGCUUUGACUUGCGCAAAUGAUUUUUCCACCUCCCAUAAAAAUUUAAGGCAAAGAUACGGAAGACUUACUAGAUGUAAGUCUAGAUCUAGUACCUGAUCAUGACGCAGGUCAGACUGAUAGACCAUCUCUCUGCUCUUGGCCUCUUGAGGUACAAUUUCAAAUAGCAACUGGAGUAGAAAUUAUGAAAAAAAAAAAGGGAAGCACAGAUGAAUCUGUAAACCACUCAUCUUCCAUCUCCCCAAUUUUGAAGGCCAAAAAAGAGCAAUCUGGACCUGCCAUACAGGUUAAAACCAUGCCAGGGAGGCACACACAGCCCAGACAAGCACAAAACCAGAUGACAUAAUUUAAUCAGUUUUGAAAGGUGAUCCCCCCAAAUUCAGAAAUUCACUACAUUAAAAAAAAAAAUCCCACUCCAAAAUUAUUCAAAGAUGCCUACAGAACAGUGACUGAAGAUUCAAGAUCUGUAGUGUCAUGUGUCAUGGGAUUAGUCAUGACACCUUUUGUUUUUUCCUCAGAAUUAAGAUUGUGAGCCAAAAUGUUUAAGAAUGUAAAAUACAUGUAAGAAUAUUCUGCUUCUCAAGUAAAUUGCCAAGAAGGUUAGAGUCCUCAACUAUUACAAAAUCCCUGAAACUAAACUGAAAAUGUCAACAUCUAUCUUUGUAAUACAUAAUACAUAUAUCUUCAUAUGUAUAUUUAUAUAUUACAUAUUAUAUCUACAUUUACACAAAUUUUUGUGUAUAUAUUUAUAUUCAAAUGCAUUUAUAUAUUUGUAUAUAUUUACAUAUACUUAUAUUUUUAUAUAUCACAUGUCUAUAUAUACUUGUACAUAUAAAUAUUUCACACAAAAGAACACAUUUGAGAACCAUUUUAACGAAGAAAAUCAGAACCAAUGAAGCAGAGAGGUCAAAAAGAGGAAUGCAACUGCCCAGUGUAUGGAAUUUCUUGUGCUGUACUUUUACACUCUCAUGAGUUACUUGGAGAUGAGAAAACAUGGACUACUAUUUUUUUAGGAUGCUAAGACUGAG
rnacentral:lncRNA from 1 species